AGACGUCUACUAUUAGACUACCCCGUAGUCCCAGCCGUAAACUAUGCGCGUUAGGUGUAUCGGUGACCACGAGUUACCGAGGUGCCGAAGGGAAACCGUGAAACGUGCCGCCUGGGAAGUACGGUCGCAAGGCUGAAACUUAAAGGAAUUGGCGGGGAGCACCACAACAGGUGGAGCCUGCGGUUUAAUUGGACUCAACGCCGGGAAGCUCACCGGAUAGGACAGCAGAAUGAUUGCCGGGCUGAAGACCCUGCAUGACUAGCUG
rnacentral:rRNA from 1 species